UACAGAGGGGGCAAGCGUUGUUCGGAAUUACUGGGCGUAAAGGGCGCGUAGGCGGCCCUCUAAGUCAGACGUGAAAUCCCUCGGCUCAACCGGGGAACUGCGUCUGAGACUGGAUGGCUUGAAUCCGGGAGAGGGAUGCAGAAUUCCAGGUGUAGCGGUGAAAUGCGUAGAUAUCUGGAGGAAUACCGGUGGCGAAGGCGGCAUCCUGGACCGGCAUUGACGCUGAGGAGCGAAAGCCAGGGGAGCAAACGGG
rnacentral:rRNA from 1 species